rnacentral:pre_miRNA from 1 species
AGGAGGAACAACCCCAGUGGCGGCGGCCAGCUCUGGAGUCCUGGAUUCAGCUCCUGCAGUAGUAACUCCCGAGCUCUCCGUCUGCAGGGCCCGGAUGCUCCGGGGCGGG